UCGUAGUUGGAUCUCGGGAGCGAGCUUGCGGUCCGCCGCGAGGCGAGCCACCGCACGUCCGUACCCCUGCCUCCCGGCGCCCCCCGGAUGCCCUUAACUGGGUGUCCGGUCCGGGGCCCGGAGCGUUUACUUUGAAAAAAUUAGAGUGUUCAAAGCAGGCCGCAGCCCGCCUGAAUAUCUCAGCUAGGAAUAAUGGAAUAGGACUCCGGUUCUAUUUUGUGGGUUUCCGGAACCCGGGGCCAUGAUUGAGAGGGACGGCCGGGGGCAUUCGUAUUGCGCCGCUAGAGGUGAAAUUCUUGGACCGGCGCAAGACGGACGGGAGCGAAAGCGUUUGCCAAGAAUGAUGAUUAAUAGAAGCAGUUUGGGGGCAUUAGUAUUACGACGCGAGAGGUGAAAUUCUUGGACCGUCGUAAGACUAACUUAAGCGAAAGCAUUUGCCAAAGAUGUUUUCAUUAAUCAUUUUCAUUAAUCAGGAACGAAAGUUGGGGGCUCGAAGACGAUCAGAUACCGUCGUAGUUCCGACCGUAAACGAUGCCGACCCGCGAUCCGGCGGCGUUAUUCCCAUGACCCGCCGGGCAGCGUGCGGGAAACCGAGUCUUUGGGUUCCGGGGGGAGUAUGGUUGCAAAGCUGAAACUUAAAGGAAUUGACGGAAGGGCACCACCAGGAGUGGAGCCUGCGGCUUAAUUUGACUCAACACGGGAAACCUCACCCGGCCCGGACACGGAAAGGAUUGACAGAUCGAUAGCUCUUUCUCGAUUCUGUGGGUGGUGGUGCAUGGCCGUUCUUAGUUGGUGGAGCGAUUUGUCUGGUUAAUUCCGUUAACGAACGAGACCUCAGCCUGCUAACUAGCUACACGGAGGUGAUCCUCCGUGGCUAGCUUCUUAGAGGGACUAUCGGCUCAAGCCGAUGGAAGUUUGAGGCAAUAACAGGUCUGUGAUGCCCUUAGAUGUCCGGGGCUGCACGCGCGCCACAAUGGGCGGAUCAGCGUGUGUCUACCCUGCGCCGAGAGGCGCGGGUAACCCCCUGAACCCCGCUCGUGAUCGGGACUGGGGAUUGCAACUGUUUCCCAUCAACGAGGAAUUCCCAGUAAGCGCGGGUCAUAAGCUUGCGUUGAUUAAGUCCCUGCCCUUUGUACACACCGCUACAAUGAAAAUAUCAACGUGUAUUUCCUAGACCGAGAGGUCCGGGUAAACCGCUGAACCAUUUUCAUGCUUGGGAUUGUGAACUGCAA
rnacentral:rRNA from 1 species